AAAUUUCUCGAGUGCAAACAUUUUUUGUUCUACUCAGACCGAAGUCGGCAUCCCCGUCUGUAAACAUGCUAUAACUCACCGGAAAUACCAACAAAACACUAGCGUUAAGCAAAUGAAAACCAUUCCAAUAAACAGUAAGCGUUGUCCAG